GACGAACGCUGGCGGCGUGCCUAAUACAUGCAAGUCGAACGCUUCUUUCCUCCCGAGUGCUUGCACUCAAUUGGAAAGCGGAGUGGCGGACGGGUGAGUAACACGUGGGUAACCUACCCAUCAGAGGGGGAUAACACUUGGAAACAGGUGCUAAUACCGCAUAACAGUUUAUGCCGCAUGGCAUAAGCGUGAAAGGCGCUUUCGGGUGUCGCUGAUGGAUGGGCUCGCGGUGCAUUAGCUAGUUGGUGAGGUAACGGCUCACCAAGGCCACGAUGCAUAGCCGACCUGAGAGGGUGAUCGGCCACACUGGGACUGAGACACGGCCCAGACUCCUACGGGAGGCAGCAGUAGGGAAUCUUCGGCAAUGGACGAAAGUCUGACCGAGCAACGCCGCGUGAGUGAAGAAGGUUUUCGGAUCGUAAAACUCUGUUGUUAGAGAAGAACAAGGACGUUAGUAACUGAACGUCCCCUGACGGUACCUAAACAGAAAGCCACGGCUAACUACGUG
rnacentral:rRNA from 1 species